ensembl:rRNA 5S_rRNA 5S ribosomal RNA
GCUUACGGCCAUACCAACCUGGACAUGCCCUAUCUCGUCUUAUCUCGGAAGCUAAGCAGGUUUGGGCCUGGUUAGUACUUGGAUGGGAGACCGCCUUGAAAUACCAGGUGCUGUAAGCU